ACGGAAGGCCGCAGUGGGGAAUAUUGCACAAUGGGGGAGACCCUGAUGCAGCAACGCCGCGUGAGUGAAGAAGUAUUUCGGUAUGUAAAGCUCUAUCAGCAGGGAAGAUAAUGACGGUACCUGACUAAGAAGCUCCGGCUAAAUACGUGCCAGCCGCCGCGGUAAUACGUAUGGAGCAAGCGUUAUCCGGGUUUACUGGGUGUAAAGGGUGCGUAGGUGGCAUGGUAAGUCAGAUGUGAAAUACCGGGGCUCAACCCUGGAGCUGCAUUUGAAACUGCCAGGCUGGAGUGCAGGAGAGGCAAGCGGAAUUCCUAGUGUAGCGGUGAAAUGCGUAGAUAUUAGGAGGAACACCAGUGGCGAAGGCGGCUUGCUGGACUGUUACUGACACUGAGGCACGAAAGCGUGGGGAGCAAACAGGAUUAGAUACCCUGGUA
rnacentral:rRNA from 1 species